GAUGAACGCUGGCGGCGUGCCUAAUACAUGCAAGUCGAGCGAACGGACGAGAAGCUUGCUUCUCUGAUGUUAGCGGCGGACGGGUGAGUAACACGUGGAUAACCUACCUAUAAGACUGGGAUAACUUCGGGAAACCGGAGCUAAUACCGGAUAAUAUUUUGAACCGCAUGGUUCAAAAGUGAAAGACGGUCUUGCUGUCACUUAUAGAUGGAUCCGCGCUGCAUUAGCUAGUUGGUAAGGUAACGGCUUACCAAGGCAACGAUGCAUAGCCGACCUGAGAGGGUGAUCGGCCACACUGGAACUGAGACACGGUCCAGACUCCUACGGGAGGCAGCAGUAGGGAAUCUUCCGCAAUGGGCGAAAGCCUGACGGAGCAACGCCGCGUGAGUGAUAAAGGUCUUCGGAUCGUAAAACUCUGUUACUAGGGAAGAACAUAUGUGUAAGUAACUGUGCACAUCUUGACGGUACCUAAUCAGAAAGCCACGGCUAACUACGUG
rnacentral:rRNA from 1 species